UACGGAGGGAGCUAGCGUUGUUCGGAAUUACUGGGCGUAAAGCGCGCGUAGGCGGCUUUGUAAGUUAGAGGUGAAAGCCCGGGGCUCAACCCCGGAACUGCCUUUAAAACUGCAUCGCUUGAAUCCGGGAGAGGUGAGUGGAAUUCCGAGUGUAGAGGUGAAAAUUCGUAGAUAUUCGGAAGAACACCAGUGGCGAAGGCGGCUCACUGGACCGGCAUUGACGCUGAGGUGCGAAAGCGUGGGGAGCAAACAGG
rnacentral:rRNA from 1 species